rnacentral:rRNA from 1 species
AGGCAGCAGGCGCGCAAAUUACCCACUCCCGGCACGGGGAGGUAGUGACGAAAAAUAACGAUACGGGACUCAUCCGAGGCCCCGUAAUCGGAAUGAGUACACUCUAAACCCUUUAACGAGGAUCAAUUGGAGGGCAAGUCUGGUGCCAGCAGCCGCGGUAAUUCCAGCUCCAAUAGCGUAUAUUAAAGUUGUUGCGGUUAAAAAGCUCGUAGUCGAAUCUGUGUCUCCCGCCGCCGGUUCAUCGCUCGCGGUGUUUAACUGGCGUGCCGAGGGACGUCCUGCCGGUGGGCUCUGCUCCUUCGGGGGCGGCCCAACUUAGAAUCCCACCGCGGUGCUCUUCGCUGAGUGUCGGGGUGGGCCGGCACGUUUACUUUGAACAAAUUAGAGUGCUUAAAGCAGGCUAAAACUUCGCCUGAAUAUUCUGUGCAUGGAAUAAUGGAAUAGGACCUCGGUUCUAUUUUGUUGGUUUUCGGAACCCCGAGGUAAUGAUUAAUAGGAACGGAUGGGGGCAUUCGUAUUGCGACGUUAGAGGUGAAAUUCUUGGAUCGUCGCAAGACGGACGGAAGCGAAAGCAUUUGCCAAAAACGUUUUCAUUGAUCAAGAACGAAAGUUAGAGGUUCGAAGGCGAUCAGAUACCGCCCUAGUUCUAACCAUAAACGAUGCCAGCUAGCGAUCCGCCGACGUUCCUCCGAUGACUCGGCGGGCAGCUCCGGAACGCAAGACGGACGGAAGCGAAAGCAUUUGCCAAAAACGUUUUCAUUGAUCAAGAACGAAGUUAGAGGUUCGAAGGCGAUCAGAUACCSCCUAGUUCUAACCAUAAACGAUGCCAGCUAGCGAUCCGCCGACGUUCCUCCGAUGACUCGGCGGGCAGCUUCCGGGAAACCAAAGCUUUUGGGUUCCGGGGGAAGUAUGGUUGCAAAGCUGAAACUUAAAGGAAUUGACGGAAGGGCACCACCAGGAGUGGAGCCUGCGGCUUAAUUUGACUCAACACGGGAAACCUCACCAGGCCCGGACACCGGAAGGAUUGACAGAUUGAGAGCUCUUUCUUGAUUCGGUGGGUGGUGGUGCAUGGCCGUUCUUAGUUGGUGGAGCGAUUUGUCUGGUUAAUUCCGAUAACGAACGAGACUCUAGCCUGCUAACUAGGCGUAUUUUCGACAUCUCAAAGGCCCCACGGCCCGGUGUUUUCGCACCGAGGUCGCGCGCGGUUUUUACUGUCGGCGUACAAUCAAUUCUUCUUAGAGGGACAGGCGGCGUCUAGCCGCACGAGAUUGAGCAAUAACAGGUCUGUGAUGCCCUUAGAUGUUCUGGGCCGCACGCGCGCUACACUGAAGGAAUCAGCGUGUCCUCCCUGGCCGAGAGGCCCGGGUAACCCGCUGAACCUCCUUCGUGCUAGGGAUUGGGGCUUGCAAUUGUUCCCCAUGAACGAGGAAUUCCCAGUAAGCGCGAGUCAUAAGCUCGCGUUGAUUACGUCCCUGCCCUUUGUACACACCGCCCGUCGCUACUACCGAUUGAAUGAUUUAGUGAGGUCUUCGGACCGGUACGCGGCGGCGUUCG